UACGUAGGGCGCAAGCGUUGUCCGGAAUUAUUGGGCGUAAAGAGCUCGUAGGCGGUUUGUCGGCGUCUGCCCGCUGAAAACCCGAGGCUUAACCUCGGGCCUGCGGUGGAUACGGGCAGACUAGAGGUAGGUAGGGGAGAAUGGAAUUCCCGGUGUAGCGGUGAAAUGCGCAGAUAUCGGGGAGGAACACCGGUGGCGAAGGCGGUUCUCUGGGCCUUACCUGACGCUGAGGAGCGAAAGCGGUGGGGAGCGAACAGG
rnacentral:rRNA from 1 species